rnacentral:misc_RNA from 1 species
CGAAGCAGGCGGACCCAGGAUUUGGCGCCGCGAUCUCGAGGCUUGGCCUGGAGCCGUGGAGCUGCGGAGCCUGUGGCGGGAGCACGCGUGCGUGGUGGCCGGGCUGCGGCGCUUCGGGUGCGUGGUGUGCCGCUGGAUCGCCCAGGACCUCAGCAGCCUUGCUGGGCUCCUGGACCAACACGGCGUGCGCCUGGUGGGCGUAGGGCCCGAGGCCCUGGGUCUGCAGGAGUUCCUGGACGGCGACUACUUCGCGGGAGAGCUCUACCUGGAUGAGAGCAAGCAGCUUUACAAGGAGCUAGGCUUCAAGCGGUACAACAGCCUGAGCAUCCUCCCAGCAGCUCUGGGGAAGCCCGUGCGUGAUGUGGCUGCCAAGGCCAAGGCUGUUGGCAUCCAGGGGAACUUGUCUGGGGACCUGCUGCAGAGCGGAGGGCUGCUGGUGGUCAGCAAAGAAGUCCCCAGGCGACUACGUCCCCAAGGAGCACAUCCUGCAGGUCCUGGGCAUCUCUGCGGAGGUCUGUGCCAGCGACCCGCCUCAGUGUGACAGAGAGGUGUGAGGGAGGCGAAGGCCCUGGCCUCCGAGGAUCUGGGUGGCGUCUGCUGCCCUAGGUGUGCUGGAAGUCCACUUGGAAGAACUGUUCCGGAGGCGCUGGGUCGGGAUGCCGAACCUCUCCUGAUCCGCCGGCAGCAACGAGCCAUUAAAACUGCAGUUCCUGACCACGCACUGCUUCGCAGGCUCCGAGCCCUGCAUCCUCCACAGCCCCCGCCUUGCUCACUGUUGGGCCCUC